GAUGAACGCUGGCGGCGUGCCUAAUACAUGCAAGUCGAGCGAACAGACGAGGAGCUUGCUCCUCUGACGUUAGCGGCGGACGGGUGAGUAACACGUGGAUAACCUACCUAUAAGACUGGGAUAACUUCGGGAAACCGGAGCUAAUACCGGAUAAUAUAUUGAACCGCAUGGUUCAAUAGUGAAAGACGGUUUUGCUGUCACUUAUAGAUGGAUCCGCGCCGCAUUAGCUAGUUGGUAAGGUAACGGCUUACCAAGGCAACGAUGCGUAGCCGACCUGAGAGGUGAUCGGCCACACUGGAACUGAGACACGGUCCAGACUCCUACGGGAGGCAGCAGCAGGGAAUCUUCCGCAAUGGGCGAAAGCCUGACGGAGCAACGCCGCGUGAGUGAUGAAGGUCUUCGGAUCGUAAAACUCUGUUAUUAGGGAAGAACAAAUGUGUAAGUAACUAUGCACGUCUUGACGGUACCUAAUCAGAAAGCCACGGCUAACUACGUG
rnacentral:rRNA from 1 species